rnacentral:miRNA from 1 species
AUUUUUCAACAUGAUGAAAUUUACGAACGUUUCAUCAUGUUGAAAAAU